GGUUAAGCGACUAAGCGUACACGGUGGAUGCCCUGGCAGUCAGAGGCGAUGAUGAAGGGCGUGCUAAUCUGCGAUAAGCGCCGGUAAGGUGAUAUGAACCGUUAUAACCGGCGAUACCCGAAUGGGGAAACCCAGUGUGAUUCGUCACACUAUCAUUAACUGAAUCCAUAGGUUAAUGAGGCGAACCGGGGGAACUGAAACAUCUAAGUACCCCGAGGAAAAGAAAUCAACCGAGAUUCCCCCAGUAGCGGCGAGCGAACGGGGAGGAGCCCAGAGCCUGAAUCAGCAUGUGUGUUAGUGGAAGCGUCUGGAAAGGCGCGCGAUACAGGGUGACAGCCCCGUACACAAAAGCGCAUGUGCUGUGAGCUCGAUGAGUAGGGCGGGACACGUGGUAUCCUGUCUGAAUAUGGGGGGACCAUCCUCCAAGGCUAAAUACUCCUGACUGACCGAUAGUGAACCAGUACCGUGAGGGAAAGGCGAAAAGAACCCCGGCGAGGGGAGUGAAAAAGAACCUGAAAUCGUGUACGUACAAGCAGUGGGAGCACAGGUUUACCUGUGUGACUGCGUACCUUUUGUAUAAUGGGUCAGCGACUUAUAUUCUGUAGCAAGGUUAACCGAAUAGGGGAGCCGGAGGGAAACCGAGUCUUAAUUGGGCGUUAAGUUGCAGGGUAUAGACCCGAAACCCGGUGAUCUAGCCAUGGGCAGGUUGAAGGUUGGGUAACACUAACUGGAGGACCGAACCGACUAAUGUUGAAAAAUUAGCGGAUGACCUGUGGCUGGGGGUGAAAGGCCAAUCAAACCGGGAGAUAGCUGGUUCUCCCCGAAAGCUAUUUAGGUAGCGCCUCGUGAAUUCAUCUCCGGGGGUAGAGCACUGUUUCGGCUAGGGGGCCAUCCCGGCUUACCAACCCGAUGCAAACUGCGAAUACCGGAGAAUGUUAUCACGGGAGACACACGGCGGGUGCUAACGUCCGUCGUGAAGAGGGAAACAACCCAGACCGCCAGCUAAGGUCCCAAAGUCAUGGUUAAGUGGGAAACGAUGUGGGAAGGCCCAGACAGCCAGGAUGUUGGCUUAGAAGCAGCCAUCAUUUAAAGAAAGCGUAAUAGCUCACUGGUCGAGUCGGCCUGCGCGGAAGAUGUAACGGGGCUAAACCAUGCACCGAAGCUGCGGCAGCGACGCUUAUGCGUUGUUGGGUAGGGGAGCGUUCUGUAAGCCUGUGAAGGUGGCCUGUGAGGGUUGCUGGAGGUAUCAGAAGUGCGAAUGCUGACAUAAGUAACGAUAAAGCGGGUGAAAAGCCCGCUCGCCGGAAGACCAAGGGUUCCUGUCCAACGUUAAUCGGGGCAGGGUGAGUCGACCCCUAAGGCGAGGCCGAAAGGCGUAGUCGAUGGGAAACGGGUUAAUAUUCCCGUACUUGGUGUUACUGCGAAGGGGGGACGGAGAAGGCUAUGUUGGCCGGGCGACGGUUGCCCCGGUUUAAGCGUGUAGGUGUGUGUUCCAGGUAAAUCCGGUUCACUUUAACACUGAGGCGUGAUGACGAGGCACUACGGUGCUGAAGUAACAAAUGCCCUGCUUCCAGGAAAAGCCUCUAAGCAUCAGGUAACAUCAAAUCGUACCCCAAACCGACACAGGUGGUCAGGUAGAGAAUACCAAGGCGCUUGAGAGAACUCGGGUGAAGGAACUAGGCAAAAUGGUGCCGUAACUUCGGGAGAAGGCACGCUGACACGUAGGUGAAGUGAUUUACUCACGGAGCUGAAGUCAGUCGAAGAUACCAGCUGGCUGCAACUGUUUAUUAAAAACACAGCACUGUGCAAACACGAAAGUGGACGUAUACGGUGUGACGCCUGCCCGGUGCCGGAAGGUUAAUUGAUGGGGUCAGCGCAAGCGAAGCUCCUGAUCGAAGCCCCGGUAAACGGCGGCCGUAACUAUAACGGUCCUAAGGUAGCGAAAUUCCUUGUCGGGUAAGUUCCGACCUGCACGAAUGGCGUAAUGAUGGCCAGGCUGUCUCCACCGAGACUCAGUGAAAUUGAACUCGCUGUGAAGAUGCAGUGUACCCGCGGCAAGACGGAAAGACCCCGUGAACCUUUACUAUAGCUUGACACUGAACAUUGAGCCUUGAUGUGUAGGAUAGGUGGGAGGCUUUGAAGUGUGGACGCCAGUCUGCAUGGAGCCGACCUUGAAAUACCACCCUUUAAUGUUUGAUGUUCUAACGUGGACCCGUUACCCGGGUUGCGGACAGUGUCUGGUGGGUAGUUUGACUGGGGCGGUCUCCUCCUAAAGAGUAACGGAGGAGCACGAAGGUUGGCUAAUCCUGGUCGGACAUCAGGAGGUUAGUGCAAUGGCAUAAGCCAGCUUGACUGCGAGCGUGACGGCGCGAGCAGGUGCGAAAGCAGGUCAUAGUGAUCCGGUGGUUCUGAAUGGAAGGGCCAUCGCUCAACGGAUAAAAGGUACUCCGGGGAUAACAGGCUGAUACCGCCCAAGAGUUCAUAUCGACGGCGGUGUUUGGCACCUCGAUGUCGGCUCAUCACAUCCUGGGGCUGAAGUAGGUCCCAAGGGUAUGGCUGUUCGCCUUUAAAGUGGUACGCGAGCUGGGUUUAGAACGUCGUGAGACAGUUCGGUCCCUAUCUGCCGUGGGCGCUGGAGAACUGAGGGGGCUGCUCCUAGUACGAGAGGACCGGAGUGGACGCAUCACUGGUGUUCGGGUUGUCAUGCCAAUGGCACUGCCCGGUAGCUAAAUGCGGAAGAGAUAAGUGCUGAAAGCAUCUAAGCACGAAACUUGCCCCGAGAUGAGUUCUCCCUGAGACUUAAAGUCUCCUGAAGGAACGUUGAAGACGACGACGUUGAUAGGCCGGGUGUGUAAGCGCAGCGAUGCGUUGAGCUAACCGGUACUAAUGAACCGUGAGGCUUAACCCU
rnacentral:rRNA from 1 species